rnacentral:rRNA from 1 species
AAACCAGCACCUCAAGUGGUCAGGAGGAUUAUUGGGCCUAAAGCAUCCGUAGCCUGAUCUGUAAGUUUUCGGUUAAAUCUGUACGCUCAACGUACAGGCUGCCGGGAAUACUGCAGAUCUAGGGAGUGGGAGAGGUAGACGGUACUCGGGAGGAAGUGGUAAAAUGCUUUGAUCUCUCGAUGACCACCUGUGGCGAAGGCGGUCUACCAGAACACGUCCGACGGUGAGGGAUGAAAGCUGGGGGAGCAAACCGGAUUAGAAACCCGGGUAGUCC